AUUGAACGCUGGCGGCAUGCCUUACACAUGCAAGUCGAACGGUAACAGGUCUUCGGAUGCUGACGAGUGGCGAACGGGUGAGUAAUGCAUCGGAACGUGCCCAGUAGUGGGGGAUAGCCCGGCGAAAGCCGGGUUAAUACCGCAUACGACCUGAGGGUGAAAGGGGGGGAUCGCAAGACCUCUCGCUAUUGGAGCGGCCGAUGUCAGAUUAGCUAGUUGGUGGGGUAAAGGCCUACCAAGGCAACGAUCUGUAGUUGGUCUGAGAGGACGACCAGCCACACUGGGACUGGGACACGGACCAGGCUCCUACGGGAGGCAGCAGUGGGGAAUUUUGGACAAUGGGCGCAAGCCUGAUCCAGCAAUGCCGCGUGCAGGAAGAAGGCCUUCGGGUUGUAAACUGCUUUUGUCAGGGAAGAAAUCUUCUGGGUUAAUACCUCGGGAGGAUGACGGUACCUGAAGAAUAAGCACCGGCUAACUACGUGCCAGCAGCCGCCGUAAUAC
rnacentral:rRNA from 1 species